rnacentral:rRNA from 1 species
UAACCUGCCCAAGAGACUGGGAUAACACCUGGAAACAGAUGCUAAUACCGGAUAACAACACUAGACGCAUGUCUAGAGUUUAAAAGAUGGUUCUGCUAUCACUCUUGGAUGGACCUGCGGUGCAUUAGCUAGUUGGUAAGGUAACGGCUUACCAAGGCAAUGAUGCAUAGCCGAGUUGAGAGACUGAUCGGCCACAUUGGGACUGAGACACGGCCCAAACUCCUACGGGAGGCAGCAGCA